GUCGUACGAGAGUUUUUACUCAAGUGGCGGACGGGUGAGUAACACGUAAGAAUUUGCCUUUAGGAGGGGGAUAACAACUGGAAACGGUUGCUAAUACCCCAUAUGCUUUCGAGUGAAAUGGUUUUUCCGCCUAAAGAGAAGCUUGCGGCUGAUUAGCUUGUUGGGGAGGUAAUGGCUCACCAAGGCGACGAUCAGUAUCUGGUUUGAGAGGACGAUCAGACACACUGGAACUGAGACACGGUCCAGACUCCUACGGGAGGCAGCAGUGGGGAAUUUUCCGCAAUGGGCGAAAGCCUGACGGAGCAAUACCGCGUGAGGGAUGACGGCCUAUGGGUUGUAAACCUCUUUUUUCAGGGAGGAAUAAAUGACGUGUACCUGAGGAAUAAGCAUCGGCUAACUCCGUGCCAGCAGCCGCGGUAAUACG
rnacentral:rRNA from 1 species